CCGCCUGCAAGGAGGAAAGGAAGGAGAGUUCAAACCAAUUCAUCCAUGGGUUGCUUGCUUGACUAUAUUAUGUCGUUGCAAGAGGAGGAAGCUAUCCAUGCGUUCAUUAUACUCAUGUUUACUUUCCUUCCAAAGAGGUCAAUGAGACAUAUAAGUCCCAGCAUAGGUGACUUUUUCCCAUCUUGGAAGGUCAACUGGCAGUUCAGAAGGUGUCAAAACACUGGUGCCUUUCUCCUCCUUUGUGGUUAGAUAAGGUUGGAUGGAUCUACAACCUUGGUAGUAGAUGCAUUCAUUAAUCCAUACGUUGUUUGCUCCAUCCCUUAGCAAAGUCAACCUUGUCAGGGUAUUGUGUAUUGUGAAAUGUUAAAAUCAAUCUGGGUUGUUAGAAAUGCCUUGUGUUAGUUUUUGGCAAGGCAUUCCAGUAGUUAUGGAGUUAAUGAGAGCCUGCUAUGAUUGACGUAUCACAGGACCAAUGGGGUCAAGUUUGUUUUGACUGGGACUUCCUUCUUGGACUGUGGAAUGCAGAGGAGUUUCUUCAGUGUGUGUGAGUGAGUUGCUUCGGCAUGAGCACUCAUGGAGAAAGGACUGAUUUGCUCUAUUUGUAUAUAGUCAUGUAAAUAAAGCUUACAGCCGUUGGAUUUUCAACCGAACCCUCGUCUGCUGGAGUGUGUUUGACCAGUGCUGUUUAUCCACGUGGGAAGACAGUCUGGAGAAGGAGGUGAGACCGGGAUGAUGUUUUUGGAUUACACUCUGCUACCCAUCAUCCCCUGACAAACCUCAGGAAAAAGCUGUCUGGAAGCCAGCGAAACACAUCCAGCACACCAGGGCCUGCUGGGAAGCCUGGAGUUUGCGGGGACGAUGGAAAAUGUCUAGGACUGCCCCUCGGUACAGAAAUCGGAGAUUAAUCCUAGAAGAUGAAAAAAGGAAGAAAAUGUCAGGGGAUGUUGGGAUAGGGAGUUAAAUCGAUCGUCCGUCACUCUGACUGUGUGAUGAGUCAGUUCUCUCUGUCUGCUCAUCCGAAGGACCACUUGUUGCAGCAACAAAAGUGGCACCAACAAAACGACAGCUUAGUCGUUGUUUACUGCUGAUCCCAGCAGGUCUAAUUACUUUAUUAUACAAGUUAUAUACAAUUACUCAAAGCCGAGGCUGUUAUCUGUACAAGUUGGCACCUCUCGCAUUCCUCAGCUCAUGAUGAAAGUUCCGGUCAAACAGUUCAAACGGAAGCCCUGACCUAUUGGUCCUGCGGGCAAUCAAUCAAGCUGGCUUGUGAUUAACCCAUGCGCUGCUGGAAUGCUCUGCAGGAAACACACACUUGCGAACACCCAACAGCAAAACUUGAUACAACAAUUCAAUCUAACAACAGAAACACACUAACAGAAAAGAUGAUCAGGAUGUAGGUCAGGUCCUCUCCCUACAAAUAGUGGAUCCCAUUCCAGUAGGGUAGUGAAUCCAGUCCGGGUUUUGAUUAGCUGUCCAAAGUGCUGAAUCUAUUUAGGAAUAGGCUUUGGCAUCUUUCAAAGAUUAAACCCUAGCAUGGAUUCACUCUGUUGAAGUGGGAAUGAUUGUACAUAGGUUUGUUUAAAUGUAAUUGAGUCAUGUAUGCAACGUGUGCUGGGGAUUGCAUCAUAUACUGUGAUUGCAUCAUGCACUGUCUGCUGUCCACUAUGCAAGUGUGUAAAGAGUUAACUGUCUGUUGCAUCAGACAGCAGGGGUGAUUAUAAAUAGCUCCCUGUUAUCUCUCUCUCUUGGUUAUCUGCUCUCUGCACUCUGUCUGUAUGUAUAUUGUCUUGUGAGAGUUUUCCGUUCACCAGUAAACCUGUUUAUAGAUA